GGCCUACCGCUCCGGUGGCCUAGUGGUUAGAGCAUCCGCCUCUGAUGCAUGAUGGCCACGGGUUGGAACCCUGGCUGAGUCA